ACCUUUUUUAUAAUAUAUUUAUAGAAUAAAAAAGUAAAAAUACGAAUUAUAAUUAGAAUUAUAAAAUCAAAGUAGAGCCACCUCUGCCUCGAUCUGUUCGGAGUCAACGCUCAA
rnacentral:rRNA from 15 species